CAGUCGCCGCGGUAAUACGUAGGUGGCAAGCGUUGUCCGGAAUUAUUGGGCGUAAAGGGCUCGCAGGCGGUUUCUUAAGUCUGAUGUGAAAGCCCCCGGCUCAACCGGGGAGGGUCAUUGGAAACUGGGAAACUUGAGUGCAGAAGAGGAGAGUGGAAUUCCACGUGUAGCGGUGAAAUGCGUAGAGAUGUGGAGGAACACCAGUGGCGAAGGCGACUCUCUGGUCUGUAACUGACGCUGAGGAGCGAAAGCGUGGGGAGCGAACAGGAUUAGAUACCCCAGUAGUCCCUGUCUCUUAUCA
rnacentral:rRNA from 1 species